GGCCCCGAGGUGAUGGCGGCCACACUCCGAGUGCUCCAGGCACUCGAGGUUCCCCUUCAGUUCGAGAGCCGGGACGCGGGCGCC
rnacentral:tRNA from 1 species